CCAGGACUCGGAGGGGGCAAGGCAGGGGCCAGCUUGGGGUCCAGGUUAUCACUCCUGGGAUAGGAGGCAAGCACGGACUUCCUCAGCCACUGAACGCCUUCUCCCCCCCCCCCCGACCCUCCUUUUCAUUCACAGGACCGGCCUUGGCUGAAUGCUGCUUCAGAAUGGUCCCCCCCGGAUCCCUUCCCAAGUGGGAUCCUUGUGAAACGGGCCAGGACACUCAGGGGGCUCCUCCUCGCGGGACCCUCACCAUCCCGAUUCCAUGAGGCCCUUAAGGAGAGCGAUGGCCACACAAGUUGAACUCGGCUCUGCCCUGACCUCGCUGGCCGGCAUAAGUGAACCGAGGACCGAGGCCGCCUUCCGGCACUCCUUUAUCGGCUCGCUGUCUGACGCCAGCCGGAAGCCUGGGGAGGGCCCCCGUGCUCUGGCCCCACUCACCCCGGAGGGCAGGGGGCAUCCAGUGGGCCCUGCCACCAUGCCCGCCACCGUGCCCAGGCCCCCGUGGGCCCCCAAGCCCUUCUCCCGGGAGGCGUCUUCCGACACCUUUGCUACGGUGAAGCCGCCUGUCCCGGCACUCAAGCCCAGCAGUGCUACGCCAAAACCUCCCGCCCCCUUGGCCCAGACCUUUGAAGACGCUGCCAAGGGGCUGCCUGGAAACGUCCCUCCGCUGCUGGAUCAGAAACCGAUGGACAGUAGGAGCCCCGUGGAGCCGGCCGCCCCCCUGCCCUUCUACCCGGGUGCUCAGGCCAACACCCUCAUCCUCUUUGAAAGCAGGCGGCCUGCGAAGGGGAGGGGCGAAGAGGGAGGCUCCAAGGCCCAGGAGGGGCAGCUGCUGCGCUCCCAUUCAGAGAAGUGGCCCCCAAGGCAGCCCUCACUCUCCACGGACCCCAGGCCAGUCUCCUGGGCCCCUCACUGGAAGGAGGCCUUUGCGGGGGGGCCCAAGGGCUCGGCCGGCAGCCUUGAGCCACAGCAGAGUCCAACUCCGGCCACUGAGACCCACUCCCAGGCGGGAGGGGGACCCGCCGCCUCGGCUGGCUUUCGGGAAUCCUGGCAGGAACCAACACAACCAGCUCCUCCCCAGGCAGCUUCUGGCCCAGGGAGCCCAAAGCCGAGGCCGCUCCCCCCGGACCUCACGAGUAGGUUUGAAGCCUGGCAGAAGCAGCCCUGCCUGGCUGAGAGCAAGGAGAAGAGCUUUCCAGCCGCCGGCGACGGGGCUCCGGAGGCCACAGGGGCGAGGAGCGCCGCUGCCGGCCUAAGUGGGGCUGCCCCAUCUGGGCCCAGGGCCAAAAGUGCCGGCAGCCAAAGCUGUUUGCCCUCUGUUGGGGGAGCAGCUCCCCCAGGCCAGACUGUCCCGGAGGACGUGGGGCAAAAGUGCGCACAGGAGGAGGGAAGCCAGGGGAAGUCCAGCAUGGGGCAGCCCAGGGCCGGCCAAGGCCGGCCUCUGUGGGAGACGGGGGAGGUCACUGCCCAGGAGGCUGGCUUCAGGAAGGCCGACCUGCCAGACGCCUCGGACGGCUGCCCUAAAAAGGCCGCCCCGCUCCUGGACCCCUCAGCAAAGCCUCGGGCUGCCCCCGAGAGCCAGUCCCUCCACUGCAGCCCCGGAAAGGAGAUCCGGAUCCUGAACAUCCAGCAGAGGAUUCAAGUGCUGACGGCAGAGAACGCGGCUUUCAAGGCAGGAGGCCUGCGCUGCCACUCCUUCCGCUCCCGGCCUCUUUCCGCAGAUUUGACGAAGAUGUUUUCUGGCCCCGUGACUGCAGGGGAGCAGAAGCCCAAGAGGCCGCCUGAAUGGUCCAGGAAGCCUGCUGGUGAAACGCAAGAGGCUCUGGAGGUGAGGGGGGCAGGGGAACCCAAACUCCAUUUUCCCCCUCAGAGGGAAACCUACAUUAGACGCGGCCUGAAU
rnacentral:lncRNA from 1 species